rnacentral:rRNA from 1 species
GUGACUGCGUACCUUUUGUAUAAUGGGUCAGCGACUUAUAUUCUGUAGCAAGGUUAACCGAAUAGGGGAGCCGAAGGGAAACCGAGUCUUAACUGGGCGUUAAGUUGCAGGGUAUAGACCCGAAACCCGGUGAUCUAGCCAUGGGCAGGUUGAAGGUUGGGUAACACUAACUGGAGGACCGAACCGACUAAUGUUGAAAAAUUAGCGGAUGACUUGUGGCUGGGGGUGAAAGGCCAAUCAAACCGGGAGAUAGCUGGUUCUCCCCGAAAGCUAUUUAGGUAGCGCCUCGUGAAUUCAUCUCCGGGGGUAGAGCACUGUUUCGGCAAGGGGGUCAUCCCGACUUACCAACCCGAUGCAAACUGCGAAUACCGGAGAAUGUUAUCACGGGAGACACACGGCGGGUGCUAACGUCCGUCGUGAAGAGGGAAACAACCCAGACCGCCAGCUAAGGUCCCAAAGUCAUGGUUAAGUGGGAAACGAUGUGGGAAGGCCCAGACAGCCAGGAUGUUGGCUUAGAAGCAGCCAUCAUUUAAAGAAAGCGUAAUAGCUCACUGGUCGAGUCGGCCUGCGCGGAAGAUGUAACGGGGCUAAACCAUG